UACAGAGGUGGCAAGCGUUGUUCGGAAUUACUGGGCGUAAAGGGCGCGUAGGCGGCUUGGUCAGUCCCGUGUGAAAUCCCUCGGCUCAACUGAGGAACUGCACGGGAAACUGCCUGGCUUGAGUUCGGGAGAGGGAAGCGGAAUUCCGGGUGUAGCGGUGAAAUGCGUAGAUAUCAGGAGGAACACCAAUGGCGAAGGCAGCUCGCUGGGACGUGACUGACGCUGAGACGCGAAAGCGUGGGGAGCAAACAGG
rnacentral:rRNA from 1 species